AUUAAUAUAGCUUAUAUAGAGCAAUUUAUUGAAGAUAAAAAGGAAUACAUUUUCAUC
rnacentral:tRNA from 2 species